GACGAACGCUGGCGGCACGCUUAACACAUGCAAGUCGAACGGCGAAGAGGAGCUUGCUCCUCGGAACAGUGGCGGACGGGUGAGUAACGCAUGAGCAACCUGCCUUUAAGAGUGGAAUAAUGACUGGAAACGGUCACUAAUACCGCAUAAUAUAUAUCAAUCGCAUGGCAGAUAUAUCAAAGAAUUAUCGCUUAAAGAUGGGCUCAUGACCGAUUAGCCGGUUGGUGAGGUAACGGCUCACCAAAGCAACGAUCGGUAGCCGUACUGAGAGGUAGAACGGCCACAUUGGGACUGAGACACGGCCCAGACUCCUACGGGAGGCAGCAGUGGGGAAUAUUGCACAAUGGAGGGAACUCUGAUGCAGCGAUGCCGCGUGAGGGAAGAAGGUUUUCGGAUUGUAAACCUCUGUCUUUGGGGACGAAAAUGACGGUACCCAAGGAGGAAGCUCCGGCUAACUACGUGCCAGCAGCCGCU
rnacentral:rRNA from 1 species